GACGUAGGGCGCGAGCGUUGUCCGGAUUUAUUGGGCGUAAAGAGCUCGUAGGCGGCUUGUCGCGUCGACUGUGAAAACCCGCGGCUCAACCGCGGGCCUGCAGCCGAUACGGGCAGGCUAGAGUUCGGGUAGGGGAGACUGGAAUUCCUGGUGUAGCAGUGAAAUGCGUAGAUAUCAGGAGAAUACCGAUGGCGAAGGCAGGUCUCUGGGCUGACACUGACGCU
rnacentral:rRNA from 1 species